rnacentral:rRNA from 1 species
AUUGAACGCUGGCGGCAUGCCUUACACAUGCAAGUCGAACGGUAACAGGUCUUCGGAUGCUGACGAGUGGCGAACGGGUGAGUAAUACAUCGGAACGUGCCCGAUCGUGGGGGAUAACGCAGCGAAAGCUGUGCUAAUACCGCAUACGAUCUACGGAUGAAAGCGGGGGAUCGCAAGACCUCGCGCGGACGGAGCGGCCGAUGGCAGAUUAGGUAGUUGGUGGGAUAAAAGCUUACCAAGCCGACGAUCUGUAGCUGGUCUGAGGGGACGACCAGCCACACUGGGACUGAGACACGGCCCAGACUCCUACGGGAGGCAGCAGUGGGGAAUUUUGGACAAUGGGCGAAAGCCUGAUCCAGCCAUGCCGCGUGCAGGAUGAAGGCCUUCGGGUUGUAAACUGCUUUUGUACGGAACGAAAAAGUUCUCUCUAAUACAGGGGGCGAAUGACGGUACCGUAAGAAUAAGCACCGGCUAACUACGUGCCAGCCGCCGCCGUAAGAC